rnacentral:rRNA from 1 species
CAGCCGCCGCGGUAAUACCGGCGGCCCGAGUGGCGGUCACUAUUAUUGGGCUUAAAACGUCCGUAGCCGGGUUGGGAAGUCCUCCGGGAAAUCUGGCCGCUUAACGGUCAGAAUGCCGGAGGAUACUCCCAGCCUAGGGAGCGGGAGAGGCCGAGGGUAUUCCCGGAGUAGGGGUGAAAUCCUAUAAUCCCGGGAGGACCACCUGUGGCGAAGGCGCUCGGCUGGAACGCGUCCGACGGUGAGGGACGAAGGCCAGGGGAGCAAACCGGAUUAGAUACCCGGGUAGUCCUGGCUGUAAACGAUGCGGACUUUGUGUCGGACAAGCUAUGAGCUUGUCCGGUGCCGGAGGGAAACCGUUAAGUCCGCCGCCUGGGGAGUACGGCCGCAAGGCUGAAACUUAAAGGAAUUGGAGGG